AAAGUGAGGAAUAAGCCACCGAAAGGUGGUCUAAUACUUCAUAAUAUCCAUCUCGUAUGGAUUAAAGCUUUAUGCGCUUUGGAGGGGCCUGCGUAACAUUAGCUUGUUGGUGAGGUAAAAGCUCACCAAGGCUUCGAUGUUUAACUGGUUUGAGAGGAUGACCAGUCACACUGGGACUGAGAUACGGCCCAGACUCCUACGGGAGGCAGCAGUAAGGAAUCUUCCACAAUGGGGCAACCCUGAUGGAGCAAUACCGCGUGCAGGAUGAAGCGUUUCGGCGUGUAAACUGCUUUUAUCACCGAAGAUUAUGACUGUAGGUGAAGAAUAAGGACCGGCUAACUACGUG
rnacentral:rRNA from 1 species